UACGGAGGAUGCGAGCGUUAUCCGGAUUUAUUGGGUUUAAAGGGUGCGUAGGCGGGCUUUUAAGUCAGCGGUAAAAAUUCGGGGCUCAACCCCGUCCGGCCGUUGAAACUGGGGGCCUUGAGUGGGCGAGAAGAAGGCGGAAUGCGUGGUGUAGCGGUGAAAUGCAUAGAUAUCACGCAGAACCCCGAUUGCGAAGGCAGCCUUCCGGCGCCCUACUGACGCUGAGGCACGAAAGUGCGGGGAGCAAACAGG
rnacentral:rRNA from 1 species